ACUGUUUCUUGGCCUUUUGGCUAAGAACAAGUGUAGUAUCUUUUUAUUUUCUUCUUUUAAAAUUUAUUUUACUAAUGUAAUAAUUGCCAGCAAGACCAUAGAAUAAGAAGGGUACACAAUCCCCACCACCAGAAUUCCUUAUCCC
rnacentral:snRNA from 1 species